GGUUAAGCGAAUAAGCGUACACGGUGGAUGCCUAGGCAAUCAGAGGCGAUGAAGGACGUGCUAAUCUGCGAUAAGCGUCGGUAAGGUGAUAUGAACCGUUAUACCCGACGAUUUCCGAAUGGGGAAACCCAAUAUCCAAUGGAUAUUAUCAUUAACUGAAUACAUAGGUUAAUGAAGCGAACCGGGAGAACUGAAACAUCUCAGUACCCCGAGGAAAAGAAAUCAACCGAGAUUCCCCUAGUAGCGGCGAGCGAACGGGGAACAGCCCAGAGUCUUAAUCAAUAGCAGCAUCAGGAGAACGGUCUGGAAAGUCCGGCAGUAAAGGGUGAUAGCCCCGUAUCCGAAGAUGCUGUUAUUGUGAACUCGACGAGUAGGGCGGGACACGUGUUAUCCUGUCUGAAUAUGGGGGGACCAUCCUCCAAGGCUAAAUACUCCUGAUUGACCGAUAGUGAACCAGUACCGUGAGGGAAAGGCGAAAAGAACCCCGGCGAGGGGAGUGAAAAAGAACCUGAAACCGUGUACGUACAAGCAGUAGGAGCCCCAUCACUCAAGUGCCUCGCACUGAGUGAUUGGACAAACCACUCGAAAACAGCGCAGCGUUUACCUACAAAGUGGAUUGAUUUUUUCAAGCCGUCGCACAGUGUACAUAGAAGUACACGAGCAACGGAAGUUAAAAAAUCGAGCCAGUUUGACAGUAAAAGCAAGCGGGACAUUUGAGGAUGGGGUGACUGCGUACCUUUUGUAUAAUGGGUCAGCGACUUAUAUUCUGUAGCGAGGUUAACCGUAUAGGGGAGCCGUAGGGAAACCGAGUCUUAACUGGGCGAAUGAGUUGCAGGGUAUAGACCCGAAACCCGGUGAUCUAUCCAUGGGCAGGUUGAAGGUUGGGUAACACUAACUGGAGGACCGAACCGACUAAUGUUGAAAAAUUAGCGGAUGACUUGUGGAUGGGGGUGAAAGGCCAAUCAAACCGGGAGAUAGCUGGUUCUCCCCGAAAGCUAUUUAGGUAGCGCCUCGUGAACUCAUCUUCGGGGGUAGAGCACUGUUUCGACUAGGGGGUCAUCCCGACUUACCAACUCGAUGCAAACUGCGAAUACCGAAGAAUGUUAUCACGGGAGACACACGGCGGGUGCUAACGUCCGUCGUGAAGAGGGAAACAACCCAGACCGCCAGCUAAGGUCCCAAAGUCAUGGUUAAGUGGGAAACGAAGUGGGAAGGCUCAGACAGCCAGGAUGUUGGCUUAGAAGCAGCCAUCAUUUAAAGAAAGCGUAAUAGCUCACUGGUCGAGUCGGCCCGCGCGGAAGAUGUAACGGGGCUAAACCAUGCACCGAAGCUGCGGCAGCGACACUAAGUGUUGUUGGGUAGGGGAGCGUUCUGUAAGCCUGCGAAGGUGUACUGUGAGGUAUGCUGGAGGUAUCAGAAGUGCGAAUGCUGACAUAAGUAACGAUAAUGCGGGUGAAAAACCCGCACGCCGGAAGACCAAGGGUUCCUGUCCAACGUUAAUCGGGGCAGGGUGAGUCGACCCCUAAGGCGAGGCUGAAAAGCGUAGUCGAUGGGAAACGGGUUAAUAUUCCCGUACUGGUGGUAACUGCGAUGGGGGAACGGAGAAGGCUAGGUUGUCCGGGCGACGGUCGUCCCGGUUCAAGCAUGUAGGCAGAGUGAUUAGGCAAAUCCGGUCACUUAAUGCUGAGGUGUGAUGACGAGCCACUAAGGUGGUGAAGCAAUUGAUGCCCUGCUUCCAGGAAAAGCCUCUAAGCUUCAGGUUACCAACAAUCGUACCCCAAACCGACACAGGUGGUCAGGUAGAGAAUACUCAGGCGCUUGAGAGAACUCGGGUGAAGGAACUAGGCAAAAUGGUGCCGUAACUUCGGGAGAAGGCACGCUGGCGGUAAGUGAAGUCCCUUGCGGACGGAGCCGAAGCCAGUCGAAGAUACCAGCUGGCUGCAACUGUUUAUUAAAAACACAGCACUGUGCAAACACGAAAGUGGACGUAUACGGUGUGACGCCUGCCCGGUGCUGGAAGGUUAAUUGAUGGGGUUAUCCUUAGGGAGAAGCUCUUGAUCGAAGCCCCAGUAAACGGCGGCCGUAACUAUAACGGUCCUAAGGUAGCGAAAUUCCUUGUCGGGUAAGUUCCGACCUGCACGAAUGGCGUAAUGAUGGCCAGGCUGUCUCCACCCGAGACUCAGUGAAAUUGAACUCGCUGUGAAGAUGCAGUGUACCCGCGGCAAGACGGAAAGACCCCGUGAACCUUUACUAUAGCUUGACACUGAACAUUGAGCCUUGAUGUGUAGGAUAGGUGGGAGACUAUGAAGUGUGGACGCCAGUCUGCAUGGAGUCAACCUUGAAAUACCACCCUUUAACGUUUGAUGUUCUAACCUAGGUCCAUAAUCUGGAUCGGGGACCGUGUCUGGUGGGUAGUUUGACUGGGGCGGUCUCCUCCUAAAGAGUAACGGAGGAGCACGAAGGUUGGCUAAGCAUGGUCGGACAUCAUGCGGUUAGUGCAAAGGCAUAAGCCAGCUUGACUGUGAGAGUGACGGCUCGAGCAGGUACGAAAGUAGGUCUUAGUGAUCCGGUGGUUCUGAAUGGAAGGGCCAUCGCUCAACGGAUAAAAGGUACUCCGGGGAUAACAGGCUGAUACCGCCCAAGAGUUCAUAUCGACGGCGGUGUUUGGCACCUCGAUGUCGGCUCAUCACAUCCUGGGGCUGAAGUAGGUCCCAAGGGUAUGGCUGUUCGCCAUUUAAAGUGGUACGCGAGCUGGGUUUAGAACGUCGUGAGACAGUUCGGUCCCUAUCUGCCGUGGGCGUUGGAAGAUUGAGAGGGGUUGCUCCUAGUACGAGAGGACCGGAGUGAACGCACCACUGGUGUUCGGGUUGUCAUGCCAAUGGCAUUGCCCGGUAGCUAAGUGCGGAAGAGAUAACCGCUGAAAGCAUCUAAGCGGGAAACUUGCCUCGAGAUGAGUCUUCCCUGUCACCUAGAGUGACCUAAAGGAACGUUUAAGACUAAGACGUUGAUAGGCUGGGUGUGUAAGCGUAGCGAUACGUUGAGCUAACCAGUACUAAUGAACCGUGAGGCUUAACCUG
rnacentral:rRNA from 1 species